rnacentral:rRNA from 1 species
AGAGCAUACGGUGGAUGCCUUGGCGAUAUCUGCCGAUGAAGGACGCGACAAGCUGCGAAAAGUUGCGGAGAGGUGCAAAUGACCAUUGACCCGCAGAUCUCCGAAUGGAGCAAUCCGGCAGGGUUUAUCCCCUGUCACCCAUAUCUUCGAAUAUGGGAGGGAACCGGGCGAACUGAAACAUCUAAGUAGCCCGAGGAAGAGUAAUCAAACGAGAUACCCCAAGUAGCGGCGAGCGAACGGGGCCUAAGCCCAAACCGGUGAAGGAAACUUUGCCGGGGUUGAGGACUGCCAUACGAACUAGCCCAUUAGCCGAAAUUCCUGGGAAGGAAUGCCGAAGAAUGUGAAAGCCAUGUAAGCGAAAAUGGAAAAGGGACAGGCAGCACCAGAGUACCGCGGGACACGAGAAACCCCGUGGGAAGCCGGGGGGACCACCCUCCAAGGCAAAACACAGAUAUCGACCGAUAGCGCAUAGUACCAUGAGGGAAAGGUGAAAAGCACCCCGGGAGGGGAAUGAAAGAGAACCUGAAACCGUAUGUUUACAAGCAGUCGAAGACCGCUUAAUAAUAAGGUCAACGGCGUGCCUAUUGAAGAAUGAACCGGCGAGUUAUGAGGUCCAGCAAGGUUAAGCAGGAAAUGCGGAGCCGAAGCGAAAGCGAGUCUUAAUAGGGCGACAAGUUGGAUUGCAUAGACCCGAAACCACAGUGAUCUACCCAUGUCCAGGCUGAAGCACAGGUAAAAAUGUGUGGAGGGCCGAACCUAUAUCCGUUGAAAAGGGUUAGGAUGAGGUGUGGGUAGGGGUGAAAUUCCAAUCGAACGUGGAGAUAGCUGGUUCUCCCCGAAAUAGCUUUAGGGCUAGCCUCGAGGUAGAGAUUGCAGGCGGUAGAGCACUGAUCAGGAGAGGGGCCUACCCGGCUACCAAACCCAGUCAAACUACGAAUGGCUGCAAUUAUACUCGGGAGUCAGACUACGACUUAUAAGGGCCGUGGUCAAAAGGGAAACAGCCCAGAUCAUCAGCUAAGGUCCCAAAUGCCGUGCUAAGUGGCGAAGGAUGUGGCGUUUCAUAAACAACCAGGAUGUUGGCUCAGAAGCAGCCACCAUUUAAAGAGUGCGUAAUAGCUCACUGGUCGAGAGACGCUGCGCCGAAAAUGUCCGGGGCUCAAGCACGGAACCGAAGCUAUGGCAUUGACUAUGUCAAUGGGUAGGGGAGCGUUCUUAACAGGAAGAAGCAUGACCGUAAGGACAUGUGGACCGUUAAGAAGUGAGAAUGCCGGUAUGAGUAUCGAAAAGAAAGGUGAGAAUCCUUUCCACCGAAAGCCCGAGGGUUCCUGAGCAACGAUCGUCGUCUCAGGGUAAGUCGGGACCUAAGCCGAGGCGGAGACGCAUAGGCGAUGGACAACAGGUUGAAAUUCCUGUACCGGAUACAAUCGUUUGAGCGAUGGAGCGACGCAGAAAGGCAUAUGAUCGCGCGACUGGAAGAGCGCGUCCAAGUGCGUAUGUUGAAUCGGAGGCAAAUCCCUGAUUCUGAAAGCAGAGACACGAUGGGGAGUUAUACGAAAGUAUGACGAACUCAUAGAUCCUACACUGCCAAGAAAAACUUCUAGUGAGAAAGUAUCCGCCCGUACCGUAAACCGACACAGGUAGGCGGGGAGAGAAUCCUAAGGUGCGCGGGAAAACCCUCGUUAAGGAACUCGGCAAAUUGCAUCCGUAACUUAGGGAGAAGGAUGACCUUAAGUAAGCGAAAGGGAGAAACCCCUGGAACAGAACAAGGUGGCAGAAAAGAGGCCCAAGCAACUGUUUACCAAAAACACAGGUGCCUGCGAAAGCGAAAGCUGAAGUAUAGGUGCUGACGCCUGCCCGGUGCUGGAAGGUUAAGGAGAGAUGUCAGAGCAAUCGAAGCAUUGAACUGAAGCCCCAGUGAACGGCGGCCGUAACUAUAACGGUCCUAAGGUAGCGAAAUUCCUUGUCGGGUAAGUUCCGACCCGCACGAAAGGCGUAACGAUUUGGGCACUGUCUCAACGAGGGGCCCGGUGAAAUUGAAAUACCUGUGAAGAUGCAGGUUACCCGCGACUGGACAGAAAGACCCCAUGGAGCUUCACUGCAGCUUGAGAUUGAAUCUCGGUGAUGCAUGCACAGGAUAGGUGGGAGACUUUGAAGUAUGGGCUUUGGCUUAUACCGAGUCGAUGUUGGGAUACCACCCUUGUAUUGCUGAGAUUCUAACACGGAGGCUAACAACCUCGUGGACCAUCUCAGGUAGGCGGUUUGACUGGGGCGGUCGCCUCCGAAAGAGUAACGGAGG